rnacentral:rRNA from 1 species
AUUGAACGCUGGCGGCAGGCUUAACACAUGCAAGUCGAGCGGGGUGAUGGUGCUUGCACUAUCACUUAGCGGCGGACGGGUGAGUAAUGCUUAGGAAUCUGCCUAUUAGUGGGGGACAACAUCUCGAAAGGGAUGCUAAUACCGCACACGUCCUACGGGAGAAAGCAGGGGAUCACUUGUGACCUUGCGCUAAUAGAUGAGCCUAAGUCGGAUUAGCUAGUUGGUGGGGUAAAGGCCUACCAAGGCGACGAUCUGUAGCGGGUCUGAGAGGAUGAUCCGCCACACUGGGACUGAGACACGGCCCAGACUCCUACGGGAGGCAGCAGUGGGGAAUAUUGGACAAUGGGGGGAACCCUGAUCUAGCCAUGCCGCGUGUGUGAAGAAGGCCUUAUGGUUGUAAAGCACUUUAAGCGAGGAGGAGGCUCUUUUGGUUAAUACCCAAGAUGAGUGGACGUUACUCGCAGAAUAAGCACCGGCUAACUCUGUGCCAGCAGCCGCGGUAA